UGGUCACCUAAUUUUAAUAUCUUGGAAGACAUAUUACGGGGACUCUAAGCUAUAAAAUAUGUAGUGCUGCAUUACAAGGCGUGCUAUUCUGGACGAGUAUUCUGAACUUGAGCUAACUCAUUUAGACAAGUCCUGUUUUACUGCAACACUUUAUAUUCAGAUUUUGAGAGGUGCAAAAGAAUACGCAUGAACAGAAACAGUGAUAUAACAUUGGGUGGCAGAGGUGAGAAGCUGCAGAGAAAACAGAGCCGAGAGUCACCAUUGGGUGGCCAAGUUAUCUUGAGAAGAAAAGAAGAGAGGCUCAAGAGAGCCAAGUGAAUGAUCAACAAAAUUUGGAGGAACAAAAAUGAAUAGAUACUGACUAGGGAGAUUCUCUUGCAUCUUGCAAGGAGAAUGGUCUUAGUUUUGGUUUACUGAUUUUACUCGCUUAUAAUCCUGAGUCGUGGAACUAUAUGGUUCAUGAAGAAUAUAUUCAAGAGAAUCUUAGCGUUGGUGGUCAUUAUACUCUAUAAGAACAUGCAUGUGAGAAACGAAGUGGAUCAGAUCAAAACCAGAACCGAGGACUGAAAGAAAAGAGGGUGAUGGAAUCUGAGAGGAAAAAAAGUAACUGGACACCUCAAAUAGAACACUCGACUGAUACUUUGGACGCAAUAAACUGAUGUGCAGUGAAAAUUACGUUGAUUAUCUAUUUUUACUAUAAAUAAGGACAUUUAGAAUUUUCGAGG